GCCUCCGUAGCUCAGCGGAUUAGAGCAGAGGGUUUCUACCCCUUGUGUCGCGGGUUCGAGUCCUGCCGGGGGCACCA
rnacentral:tRNA from 3 species